rnacentral:rRNA from 1 species
AUUGAACGCUGGCGGCAGGCCUAACACAUGCAAGUCGAGCGGAGCGGCGGCCGGGUGAGUACUGUCUGGGGAACUGCCUGAUGUAGGGGGAUAACUCCUGGAAACGGGCGCUAAUACCGCCUCCUCUCAGAUGAGCCUCGGUCUGAUUAGCUAGUUGGUGGGGUAAAGGCCUACCAAGGCUACGAUCCGUACCUGGUCUGAGAGGAUGAUCAGUCACACUGGAACUGAGACACGGUCCAGACUCCUACGGGAGGCAGCAGUGGGGAAUAUUGGACAAUGGGCGAAAGCCUGAGCCAGCCAUGCCGCGUGUGUGAAGAAGGUCUUCGGAUUGUAAAGCACUUUAAGGUUGGAGGCGUUACCAACAGAAUAAGCACCGGCUAACUUCGUGCCAGCAGCCGCGGUAAUUC